AUUGAACGCUGGCGGCAUGCCUUACACAUGCAAGUCGAACGGUAACAGGUUAAGCUGACGAGUGGCGAACGGGUGAGUAAUGUAUCGGAACGUGCCCAGUCGUGGGGGAUAACUACUCGAAAGAGUGGCUAAUACCGCAUACGACCUGAGGGUGAAAGCGGGGGACCGUAAGGCCUCGCGCGAUUGGAGCGGCCGAUAUCAGAUUAGCUAGUUGGUGGGGUAAAAGCCCACCAAGGCGACGAUCUGUAGCUGGUCUGAGAGGACGACCAGCCACACUGGGACUGAGACACGGCCCAGACUCCUACGGGAGGCAGCAGUGGGGAAUUUUGGACAAUGGACGCAAGUCUGAGCCAGCCAUGCCGCGUGCGGGAAGAAGGCCUUCGGGUUGUAAACCGCUUUUGUCAGGGAAGAAACGAGUUUCUCUAAUACAGAGACUUAAUGACGGUACCUGAAGAAUAAGCACCGGCUAACUACGUGCCAGCAGCCGCCGCAGUAA
rnacentral:rRNA from 1 species